UUAUUUUUUUUUGUUGUUGAUUGUUUAUUUUUGGUAAAUUAUUAUUUUGUUGUUGUACUGGUAUUGAUUUAAUUUAUUUUAUUAUAGUUUAUUUGUACUGUAGGGGGUUUGGAUAUAUGUUUUUGGAAGCUUUCUUUUUUUGUUGUACCUUGUGUAUCAGGGUUUAUUAAUUUUUAUUAUUUAUUUUUUAUCUCCCGAUUUUGGAGGAGUUAAUUGGAUAUUUUAGUUACUGUUUCAUCAGUAUUAAUAAUAUCUUGUUGGUAGUGAUAUGUUAUUCGUCUCUGGUGGUAUCUGGUUUUCCAGGAAAUGAAUUUAAUUCACGUGCUUUAUUUUGCUUUUCUUUAUUUUUUGUAAUGUUUUAUUUAGUACGAAGAGUUUGGGGGAUAAGCUCCAAGUUUUACUUUUAUAAUGUUUUCUCUAUUAAUUUUUGUUGAUUUUGUGUUGAUUAUCUAUUUGAGUAUGUUAAAAUUUUAAUUUUGUUAGAUUUGGAUUUUCUUUCAUUUAAGUGUUUUACUGGAAUAUUUGAUUUAAUUUUUCUUUAUUGUGAUUAUGAUAUAAUUAGUAUAUGAUUUUCUUGUAUAGUUUUAUGUGGUGAUAAUUUCUUUAGAGGAACUAGGCAAAAGUAUGUGCUCGCCUGUUUAACAAAAACAUCUCUUCUUGAUUUUAUUUUUGAAGUAUGACCUGCCCACUGAGUAUUUGAAGGGCCGCGGUAUUUUGACCGUGCAAAGGUAGCAUAAUCAUUAGUUCUUUAAUUGUGGACUGGUAUGAAUGGUUUGACGAGGUACUAACUGUCUUUAUUAGGAUUUGCAGUUGAAUUUGGGUUUUGGGUAAAAAUACCUAAAUGUUUUUAUGGGACGAGAAGACCCUAUAGAGUUUUAUAUAAUUUUGGUUUGAUGUUGUUUGUUUAUUGAUUUGUUUACUUUGUUGUAUUUUGUUGGGGUGAUGGGAGGAUACUUUCAACUCUUCCUUAUUUUUUAUACUUGUUUGUAUAUCUUUGAUCCUGUAUUAUUGAUUUUAAGAUUAAAUUACCUUAGGGAUAACAGCGUAAUCUUUUCUGAGAGUUCUUAUUGACGAAAGGGGUUGCGACCUCGAUGUUGGAUUAAGAUGAAUUUUUGGUGUAGAAGCUUUAAUAAUUGUAUUAGGUCUGUUCGACCUUUAAAAUCUUACAUGAUCUGAGUUCAGACCGGCGUGAGCCAGGUUGGUUUCUAUCUAUAAUUUUCUUGAAUUUCUUAGUACGAGAGGACCAGAAGUUUGAAAUAAUUUUAUUUUUAUGAAUGUUAUUAAUUU
rnacentral:rRNA from 1 species